rnacentral:rRNA from 1 species
AUUCCAGCUCCAAUAGCGUAUAUUUAAGUUGUUGCAGUUAAAAAGCUCGUAGUUGGAUUUCGGUUGAGAGCGGCCGGUCCGCCGUUUGGUGUGCACUGGCUGGUUUCAGCUUCCUGCAGAGGACGCGCUCUGGGCUUAAUCGUCUGGACGUGGAGUCUGCGUGGUUACUUUGAAAAAAUUAGAGUGUUCAAAGCGGGCUUACGCUUGAAUAUUUCAGCAUGGAAUAACACUAUAGGACUCCUGUCCUAUUUCGUUGGUCUCGGGACGGGAGUAAUGAUUAAGAGGAACAGUUGGGGGCAUUCGUAUUUCAAUGUCAGAGGUGAAAUUCUUGGAUUUUUGAAUGACGAACUUCUGCGAAAGCAUUUGCCAAGGAUGUUUUCAUUG